rnacentral:rRNA from 1 species
CCUACGGGGGGCAGCAGUGGGGAAUAUUGCACAAUGGGGGAAACCCUGAUGCAGCGACGCCGCGUGAGUGAAGAAGUAUCUCGGUACGUAAAGCUCUAUCAGCAGGGAAGAAAAUGACGGUACCUGACUAAGAAGCCCCGGCUAACUACGUGCCAGCAGCCGCGGUAAUACGUAGGGGGCAAGCGUUAUCCGGAUUUACUGGGUGUAAAGGGAGCUUAGACGGUUCGCCAAGUCUGGAGUGAAAGGCCGCAGCUUAACUGCGGAACUGCUGUGGAAACUGGCGAACUAGAGUGCGGGAGGGGUAAGCGGAAUUCCUAGUGUAGCGGUGAAAUGCGUAGAUAUUACGCGGAACACCGGUGGCGAAGGCGGCUUACUGGCCCGUAACUGACGUUGAGGCUCGAAAGCGUGGGGAGCAAACAGGAUUAGAUACCCUAGUAGUC